rnacentral:rRNA from 1 species
UACGAAGGGGGCUAGCGUUGUUCGGAUUUACUGGGCGUAAAGCGCACGUAGGCGGAUUGUUAAGUCAGGGGUGAAAUCCCGGAGCUCAACUCCGGAACUGCCUUUGAUACUGGCAAUCUUGAGGCUGGAAGAGGUUAGUGGAAUUCCCAGUGUAGAGGUGAAAUUCGUAGAUAUUGGGAAGAACACCAGUGGCGAAGGCGGUUCUCUGGGCCUGUACUGACGCUGAGGAACGAAAGCGUGGGGAGCGAACAGG